GGGGAAUAUUGCACAAUGGGGGAAACCCUGAUGCAGCGACGCCGCGUGGAGGAAGAAGGUCUUCGGAUUGUAAACUCCUGUUGUUGGGGAAGAUAAUGACGGUACCCAACAAGGAAGUGACGGCUAACUACGUGCCAGCAGCCGCGGUAAAACGUAGGUCACAAGCGUUGUCCGGAAUUACUGGGUGUAAAGGGAGCGCAGGCGGGAAGACAAGUUGGAAGUGAAAUCUAUGGGCUCAACCCAUAAACUGCUUUCAAAACUGUUUUUCUUGAGUAGUGCAGAGGUAGGCGGAAUUCCCGGUGUAGCGGUGGAAUGCGUAGAUAUCGGGAGGAACACCAGUGGCGAAGGCGGCCUACUGGGCACCAACUGACGCUGAGGCUCGAAAGUGUGGGUAGCAAACAGGAUUAGAUACCCUGGUAGUCUACACCGUAAACGAUGAUUACUAGGUGUUGGAGGAUUGACCCCUUCAGUGCCGCAGUUAACACAAUAAGUAAUCCACCUGGGGAGUACGACCGCAAGGUUGAAACUCAAAGGAAUUGACGGGGGCCCGCACAAGCAGUGGAGUAUGUGGUUUAAUUCGACGCAACGCGAAGAACCUUACCAAGUCUUGACAUCCCUUGACAGACAUAGAAAUAUGUAAUCUCUUCGGAGCAAGGAGACAGGUGGUGCAUGGUUGUCGUCAGCUCGUGUCGUGAGAUGUUGGGUUAAGUCCCGCAACGAGCGCAACCCUUAUGGUCAGUUACUACGCAAGAGGACUCUGGCCAGACUGCCGUUGACAAAACGGAGGAAGGUGGGGAUGACGUCAAAUCAUCAUGCCCUUUAUGACUUGGGCUACACACGUACUACAAUGGCGUUAAACAAAGAGAAGCAAGACCGCGAGGUGGAGCAAAACUCAGAAACAACGUCCCAGUUCGGACUGCAGGCUGCAACUCGCCUGCACGAAGUCGGAAUUGCUAGUAAUCGUGGAUCAGCAUGCCACGGUGAAUACGUUCCCG
rnacentral:rRNA from 1 species